UACGUAGGGUGCAAGCGUUGUCCGGAAUUAUUGGGCGUAAAGAGCGUGUAGGCGGCUUGGAAGGUCAGCUAUGAAAACUCGAGGCUCAACCUCGAGACGUCGGUUGAAACCACCUGGCUAGAGUCCGGAAGAGGAGUGUGGAAUUCCCGGUGUAGCGGUGAAAUGCGCAGAUAUCGGGAAGAACACCCGUGGCGAAGGCGGCACUCUGGGACGGUACUGACGCUGAGACGCGAAAGCGUGGGGAGCGAACAGG
rnacentral:rRNA from 1 species